rnacentral:rRNA from 1 species
GGCGCACGGGUGAGUAACGCGUAGGUAAUCUACCCUUAUGACUGGGAUAACAUUGGGAAACUGGUGCUAAUACCGGAUACACUUCUUUACUGCGGGGUAAAGGAGGAAAGGUGGCCUCUUCAUGAAAGCUACCGUAUAGGGAUGAGCCUGCGUACCAUUAGCUAGUAGGCGGGGUAACGGCCCACCUAGGCAACGAUGGUUAGCGGGUCUGAGAGGAUGAUCCGCCACACUGGAACUGGAACACGGACCAGACUCCUACGGGAGGCAGCAGUGAGGAAUAUUGCGCAAUGGGGGAAACCCUGACGCAGCGACGCCGCGUGAGUGAGGAAGGUUUUCGGAUCGUAAAGCUCUGUCAGAAGGGAAGAAGUGUUAUAUGUUUAAUACGCAUAUAAUUUGACGGUACCUUCAGAGGAAGCACCGGCUAACUCCGUGCCAGCAGCCGCGGUAAUACGGAGGGUGCAAGCGUUGUUCGGAAUUACUGGGCGUAAAGGGCGCGUAGGCGGCUGGAUAAGUCAGAUGUGAAAGUCCAUGGCUCAACUGUGGAAGUGCAUUUGAAACUGUCCGGCUUGAGUAUCGGAGGGGAGUGCGGAAUUCCC